UGACUAUAACUUCUACUCGUC
rnacentral:miRNA from 1 species